rnacentral:rRNA from 1 species
UACGGGGGGGGCAAGCGUUGUUCGGAAUUACUGGGCGUAAAGGGCUCGUAGGCGGCCAACUAAGUCAGACGUGAAAUCCCCAGGCUCAACCUGGGAACUGCGUCUGAUACUGGAUGGCUUGAAUCCGGGAGAGGGAUGCAGAAUUCCAGGUGUAGCGGUGAAAUGCGUAGAUAUCAGGAGGAACACCAAUGGCGAAGGCAGCUCGCUGGGACGGUACUGACGCUGAGACGCGAAAGCGUGGGGAGCAAACAGG